UACGUAGGGUGCAAGCGUUGUCCGGAAUUAUUGGGCGUAAAGAGCUCGUAGGCGGUUUGUCGCGUCUGCUGUGAAAACCUAAGGCUCAACCUUGGGCUUGCAGUGGGUACGGGCAGACUAGAGUGCGGUAGGGGUGACUGGAAUUCCUGGUGUAGCGGUGGAAUGCGCAGAUAUCAGGAGGAACACCGGUGGCGAAGGCGGGUCUCUGGGCCGAUACUGACGCUGGAGGAGCG
rnacentral:rRNA from 1 species